AUCUCUCUAGUAUAAAAAGUACAUUUGGCUUCCAACCAUAAGGUCUAAUUUUUUUAGGAGAGAAA
rnacentral:tRNA from 1 species